rnacentral:rRNA from 1 species
AGGGUUUGAUCAUGGCUCAGAACGUACGCUGGCGGCACGCCUAACACAUGCAAGUCGAACGAAGUAGCAAUACUUAGUGGCAGACGGGUGAGUAACAUGUAGGUAUCUGCCCUUUGGCCUGGAAUAACACGAGGAAACUUGUGCUAAUACCGGAUAAGUCUUUACGGAGAAAGCUUUAUGCACCAUUGGAUGAGCCUGCACUUGAUUAGUUUGUUGGUGGGGUAAUGGCCUACCAAGACUGUGAUCAAUAGCUGAUUUGAGAGGAUGAUCAGCCACAUUGGGACUGAGACACGGCCCAAACUCCUACGGGAGGCAGCAGUGGGGAAUCUUGCACAAUGGAGGAAACUCUGAUGCAGCGAUGCCGCGUGAGUGAAGAAGGCCCUUGGGUUGUAAAGCUCUUUCGUCGGGGAAGAAAAUGACUGUACCCGAAUAAGAAGGUCCGGCUAACUUCGUGCCAGCCGCCGCGGUAAU